GGGAAGAGAAUCCAUGUCUGUUGUGCCCAUCACACUAUCUUCUUGCCCGACACUGUUGCUAGAAUAUGUGACACCUCCUUCUUUGCACGUCGAUGUGUUCAUGGAGGCAGCGUGGCCGUACUGGGUCAGGACUGAGGCUGAAGAAGCCAGGAGCGACCAUGUCUUUGGGUGAAAAUCUUACUGCUGUGGGGCAUGUGCAGUCGUGCGUAGGAUGUCUUGCUGCUGCCCUGUGUGUGAGGUGGAGGGAACACCCCCCCUUCACCUGAAGCUGGGAGGACCACUGAGGAGAUGAUCUCUUUAACUCCAAUCCUUUUAUGUCUGAAGUUGUGGAGGAGACCAGCAGGAACCAUGCUGUCUCGCUACUACACGGUGACAGCCACGGACAGGAGUUGAACUGAUGUGAUCUAAAUCAACCUGAAGAUUUCAUCUUAUAAAAAUAUUUACACUUUC